GAUGAACGCUGGCGGCGUGCUUAACACAUGCAAGUCGAACGGAAAGGCCCUGGUUUUGUGGGGUGCUCGAGUGGCGAACGGGUGAGUAACACGUGAGUAAUCUGCCCUUGACUUUGGGAUAACUCCAGGAAACUGGGGCUAAUACCGGAUAGGAGCUCCUUCUGCAUGGUGUGGGUGGGAAAUUUUCGGUGGGUGGGGGUGGACGCGCGGCUUAUCAUUUUGUUGGUGUGGUGGGGGUCUACCACGGCCUUGGCGGGCAGGCGGGCCGAGAGGGGGAGCGGACAUAGUGGGAGCGAGAUGGGGCAGAGACUCCUACGGGGGGCAGCAGUGGGGAAUAUUGCACAAUGGGCGGAAGCCAGAUGGAGCAACGCCGCGUGCGGGAAGACGGCCUUCGGGGUGUAAACCGCUUUCGCCUGAGACGAAGCGUGAGUGACGGUAAUGGGUAAAGAAGCACCGGCUAACUACGUG
rnacentral:rRNA from 1 species